rnacentral:misc_RNA from 1 species
GGCAAAUCCAUCGGCUCCUCGCCUCUCACUCUGGCCUUGAUUCCACAGUCUCAGGUGUAUUAUAGCUCGCCAUCGUUGAAAAUCAAAUAGCCAGCCAGCAGCCCCGCCUUUGACUCCAUUCAUUACCUACUCUGCCUCUGCAGCUUUCAAUCACCGGAAACAACUGCUUUUGCCUCCAAAAAUGGCCUCUCUCCACCUCAACUUCCCCUCUUCUUCUCCUCCUUCACCACUCCUCCGUUCUCCUCUUCCUUGUAAACUCAAAACAUCCCUCCUUUAUCUUCCUCUUUUUAGUCCUACUGCCUCUAGGUCUCUCUCUCUCCGCUUCCGCUCCAAUCAUCGCCUCCCCGGCCGCUCUUUUCAUCUGGUUUCUGCCGCCCUCUCAGCUGUUGACUCGCCAGAGACUACCAGUUCUGACGGCAGUGAUUCUGAGAAGAAACCGCUGCUUGAGGUUAAAAAUUUAACGGCAGUCAUUGCUGAAACCAAUCAGGAGAUUCUUAAGGGAGUAAAUCUUGUUGUCCAUGAAGGAGAGGUUCAUGCGGUUAUGGGAAAGAACGGUUCUGGGAAGAGCACAUUUUCUAAGGUGCUGGUUGGUCAUCCAGAUUAUGAAGUGACUGGAGGCAGUGUUAUGUUUAAAGGGGAGAACUUGCUUGACAUGGAACCAGAGGAAAGGUCUCUUGCUGGGCUUUUUAUGAGCUUCCAAUCGCCAGUUGAGAUCCCAGGAGUGAACAAUAUUGACUUUCUUAAUAUGGCAUACAAUGCUCGCAGAAGAAAACUUGCUCUGCCAGAGCUUGGACCAAUUGAGUUCUAUGCUUACCUGUUUCCGAAACUUGAGCUUGUGAACAUGAAGAGUGACUUUCUUAACAGAAAUGUAAAUGAAGGAUUUAGUGGUGGUGAAAGGAAGCGCAAUGAGAUUUUGCAACUUGCGGUUCUGGGUGCAGACAUGGCAAUAUUAGAUGAAAUUGAUUCUGGCUUGGAUAUCGAUGCACUCAAAGAUGUUGCAAAAGCAGUGAAUGGGAUCUUGACUUCAAAGAACUCUGUUUUGAUGAUUACCCAUUAUCUACGACUUUUGGAAUUCAUUCAGCCGACAUAUAUCCAUAUCAUGGAGGAUGGGAGGAUUGUAAAGACGGGGGAUAUCUCUAUUGC